rnacentral:rRNA from 1 species
CCUACGGGAGGCAGCAGUGAGGAAUAUUGGUCAAUGGGCUUACGCCUGAACCAGCCAAGUCGCGUGAGGGAAGACUGCCCUAUGGGUUGUAAACCUCUUUUGUCAGGGAGCAACGCCGGCUACGUGUAGCCGGACUGAGAGUACCUGAAGAAAAAGCAUCGGCUAACUCCGUGCCAGCAGCCGCGGUAAUACGGAGGAUGCGAGCGUGAUCCGGAUUUUUUGGGUUGAACGGGUGCGUAGGCGGAAUGCAAAGUCAGGGGUAAAAUCGCGGGGCUCAACCUCGCUCCGCCGUUGAAACUGGCGUUCUUGAGUGGGCGAGAAGUAUGCGGAAUGCGUGGUGUAGCGGUGAAAUGCAUAGAUAUCACGCAGAACUCCGAUUGCGAAGGCAGCAUACCGGCGCCCAACUGACGCUGAAGCACGAAAGCGUGGGUAUCGAACAGGAUUAGAUACCCUUGUAGUC